AUGGACGGAAUGAUUGUGGAAUUUAACCCUUCGUCGUCAUACCCAAACUCGGUCAAUGGGCCGGCUUUUAGCGUAGAAAGUGUGAGUUCGAACUACAUGGAGGUGGAGGAAUCAAUAAAUUCCCCUCCUCCCCCUAAUCCAAACCCUUAUUCUCAGAUUCCGGAUUUAGUCGCCGCAAAUGCAAAUAUGGAUUACUUUCACUUCUCUCAAAUGCAGAUGUUUUACCAAAUGCAAAUGUUUUAUCAAAUGCAUUUGAAUUAUUUUAGCAGCCAGCCGCUUUUGCCUAUGGUACCUAUGUAUGUUCAUUUUUUUAUGUCUUUUUAUAUGCGGUUUUGGUAUUUUCCCUUCUAA
rnacentral:rRNA from 1 species